UCUUUCAAAUGUUCUGACCUAUCUUUUUUGAACAGCUGUGUUUCAGGUUUCAUCUCUUUCCAUCUCUCCACCAACCUUGUUAAAAUCUAGGUGCAUGGGCCAGAAAGAGAAAUAAAAAACCAAGCACUGUCAGAAGUUCCAAAUCUCCUGCCACGUUUUGCUUCUGCUUGCGCAGUUGAAGAGAAGGAAAGGCAAGGAGCAGCUCAGUGAUAGGGACUCCACGUUCCUUGCUGGGUGAUGGGCUGGUGAAACCUGCAGCACUCUUAGCUGCAAAGCCGUGUCCCCUUGGACAGCACAGGGGAAAGUCCUGGCUCCUGGGACCUCUUCACCUUCUACACCCUAAAGAAGUCACAGGCAUUCCCCCAGGCUUUGAGAGGCCAGCUGCUGCCUCCCCAAGUUUGGAAAAAUUGGAACUCCCUCUGAAUGAUGAAAUAAGAAGUGGCUCCAGCUGGAACUCAUGUCUUGUGUCCUGGAACAUAAUUUUCGUAAGAGAGGAGUAG
rnacentral:lncRNA from 1 species